UGGGGAAUAUUGCACAAUGGAGGGAACUCUGAUGCAGCGACGCCGCGUGAGUGAUGAAGGAAUUCGUUUCGUAAAACUCUGUUCUAUGGGAAGAAAAGGACUGUACCAUAGGAGAAAGCUCCGGCUGAAUACGUGCCAGCAGCCGCGGUAAUACGUAUGGAGCGAGCGUUGUCCGGAAUUAUUGGGCGUAAAGGGUGCGCAGGCGGCUUUACAAGUUGGAUGUGAAAUAUUGUGGCUCAACCACAAACGUGCAUCCAAAACUGCAAAGCUUGAGUUAAGGAGAGGUAAGUGGAAUUCCUGGUGUAGCGGUGGAAUGCGUAGAUAUCAGGAGGAAUACCGGUGGCGAAGGCGACUUACUGGCCUUAACCUGACGCUCAGGCACGAAAGCGUGGGGAGCAAACAGG
rnacentral:rRNA from 1 species